rnacentral:tRNA from 1 species
GGGGGGAUAGCUCAGUUGGGAAGAUCUGAGCUUGGUUUCCCUCUCGAAUUUUCGAAAGGUCGUAGGUUCGAAUCCCGCUCCCCUCC